rnacentral:rRNA from 1 species
GAUGAACGCUGGCGGCGUGCCUAAUACAUGCCAGUCGAGCGAACAGACGAGGAGCUUGCUCCUCUGACGUUAGCGGCGGACGGGUGAGUAACACGUGGAUAACCUACCUAUAAGACUGGGAUAACUUCGGGAAACCGGAGCUAAUACCGGAUAAUAUAUUGAACCGCAUGGUUCAAUAGUGAAAGACGGUUUUGCUGUCACUUAUAGAUGGAUCCGCGCCGCAUUAGCUAGUUGGUAAGGUAACGGCUUACCAAGGCAACGAUGCGUAGCCGACCUGAGAGGGUGAUCGGCCACACUGGAACUGAGACACGGUCCAGACUCCUACGGGAGGCAGCAGUAGGGAAUCUUCCGCAAUAGGCGAAAGCCUGACGGAGCAACGCCGCGUGAGUGAUGAAGGUCUUCGGAUCGUAAAACUCUGUUAUUAGGGAAGAACAAAUGUGUAAGUAACUAUGCACGUCUUGACGGUACCUAAUCAGAAAGCCACGGCUAACUACGUG